CCCUGAGUAGUGCAAACGGUUAAUGCACUUGGCUGCUAACCAAAAGGUUGGUGGUUCAAGUUCACCCAGAGGUG
rnacentral:tRNA from 1 species